rnacentral:rRNA from 1 species
GUUCUUUGCCCAAAUCAAAUUCAUAACGACUCUCGGCAACGGAUAUCUCGGCUCUCGCAUCGAUGAAGAACGUAGCGAAAUGCGAUACUUGGUGUGAAUUGCAGAAUCCCGUGAACCAUCGAGUCUUUGAACGCAAGUUGCGCCCGAAGCCGUCAGGUUGA